rnacentral:rRNA from 1 species
GAUGAACGCUGGCGGCGUGCCUAAUACAUGCAAGUCGAGCGAACGGACGAGAAGCUUGCUUCUCUGAUGUUAGCGGCGGACGGGUGAGUAACACGUGGAUAACCUACCUAUAAAACUGGGAUAACUUCGGGAAACCGGAGCUAAUACCGGAUGAUAUUUUGAACCGCAUGGUUCAAAAGUGAAAGACGGUCUUGCUGUCACUUAUAGAUGGAUCCGCGCUGCAUUAGCUAGUUGGUAAGGUAACGGCUUACCAAGGCAACGAUGCAUAGCCGACCUGAGAGGGUGAUCGGCCACACUGGAACUGAGACACGGUCCAGACUCCUACGGGAGGCAGCAGUAGGGAAUCUUCCGCAAUGGGCGAAAGCCUGACGGAGCAACGCCGCGUGAGUGAUGAAGGUCUUCGGAUCGUAAAACUCUGUUAUUAGGGAAGAACAUAUGUGUAAGUAACUGUGCACAUCUUGACGGUACCUAAGCAGAAAGCCACGGCUAACUACGU